rnacentral:lncRNA from 1 species
UUUAGGUAAAUAUUUCAAGUUCACAUUUUAAAUCCCUACUUCUCAUUGGCAUUUAUCAUAUUAUUUUUUAGUCAUUCAAAACUUUAGGUUGAAUUCUUCAAUUUCUCUCUUCCAUAAUUUUUUAUUCUAUAUUCACACUCUUUUUUUAAUUCCAACAUUUUGGAUACAAGUAUCAACUUCAGUUUAGAUCCCUACUUUUCGUUGCAAUUUAUCAAACUCUGGUAAGUUGUUAUAGCAUAUGGUUUAAACUUAUAGCUAGCAUAUGGUUUAAGCUUUAAAAUAUUUUUUUCAGUUUUAUAUUUCCAAUAUUUUCAUUGAAUUCUAAUAUUUUUAUGGAUGUUUCAAGUGCAUUUUUGGUUUAUCUCCACUUCUGGUAGCACUCACUGCCCUCACAAUCCUUUCAGCAGCUGAAAAGACGAAGAUGUUGGAGACAAAGACCUUCCAGAGCAGCCGUUGUGGCCAAGUAGUGGAAGCUGAGACAGCUCGGCCGUUUCAACCCAACUUCAAAGCUUAAAUGCCAGCAGGUUUCUUUUAAUAAUCUAAGAUAAAAUCUCCUUAUUUAAUCUCUCUCUUGCAUGGUACUCCCAUUAUUACCUUCCAUGUCGCCUGAUUCCAAUGGCAGCGGGUCCCACUUACUGCAACGCCGUCGUAUGCCUCCUUACCGCAUUGGUCCUUAUCGGGGCCGGAAUGAGUGUUGGUUAAACAAUGUUCUGAAAGCAAUGGCUUCUCUUAAUGUAUUCGCCUACCGCAACGUUAUUAUUAUUAUAACAGUUGUUCUCAUUGUUUUUGUCGUGGCCAUUUUCAGAGGCCGGUUGGGGAUUUUGAGAAUCAGGAGAAGCUAGUGUUUUGGGUGGGUUUUAUGAAUCGGGAUCUAGGGUUUCUUGCGGUAACAACGGGUAGGGUUAUUGACUCCAUGGAUUAUGAUUCUUUCGUGACGGCGAGCGAGAGAAUGAGAGAGAUAUGUCGUGUUCGUGCAUGCGCGCGUUGGUGAAGGUCUCUGUGAAGGCAGCGAACAAUAGGGUAUAAAUGCAAUUUUGUUCGAAAUUGCCUCUCUCUCUCUCACCCAGUCGAAGGUGACAGGUGGUGUUUGGUUGUGAAGAGAGAAUAAAGAAGAGGAAACUAAUUUAAAUUUUAUUUUUAUUUUUAUUGUUUAGUUGGACAAAUUUU